rnacentral:snoRNA from 10 species
AAGGCAUCUUAAACAGGUUGUGGUCUCUGUUCAGUAGACCAGGAUUUGGUAGCUGUGCCGAAAUCAACUCUUUCUCUAUAACAUACUCACUUGCUGCUGCAAGGCCUGCUGGGAGAUUAGAGACAGAAACAUG